GACGAACGCUGGCGGCGUGCUUAACACAUGCAAGUCGAGCGGUAAGGCCCUUUCGGGGUACGACGAGCGGCGAACGGGUAGGAGUAACAACGUGGGUGGACCUCGCCCUCCAGCUCUGGGAGUAAGCCUCGGGAAACCGGGGUACGUAAUACUGGAGUAUGACUCCAUGACGCAUGUUGUGGGGUGGAAAGCCUUGUGCGGCUGAGGAUGGG
rnacentral:rRNA from 1 species